GGGGACCAGAGGCCCCCCCACCCACCCAAACUCAGCAGGGUAGCCGGAAAAUCAGAGCAGAAGGUGGGCGGCGGCAGAAAGUUCCGCGCCACGCGGUCCUCCCGCAGCACCUGCAGCCGCGGGCGAACGCACUCUGAGCUCCCGGGAGGCCGCCUCGCCGCGUCCUCCCGCGCUCCUGCCUUUGCCCUGGGACCGAGCCGGGGCGCUGGACUCCGCGCCCUGGCACUCGCCGCGGGACUUUGCGGCACCCAGCCCGGUCAUUCCGGCAGCCCAGAGGGACCUCGUCCCAGUCAAUCACGAGGAAAAGAGGAGAGCGAGAAAGAGACGGAGACCUGCUAUCGUGGCCAACAAUUCCGCGAAGAGGGAACAGCGGUCCACGCACCGGAUUCAGCCUCCAAUCAAGCGCAGCAGAGGCCGGCCGGCCGUGCCGAGUGCGAGGCUCGCCGAGCCCGCGCUCACCUGGAACCCGCGUCGGCCCGGGAGCGCCGCGCGCAGCCCCGGCUCCCGCCCGCGCGUGUCUCUUCACACUUCCCGGCGAGCAGAGGGAGCCGGCUCCGGCCUCAGCCAGCCCCAGAGAGGCCCCCUCAUAGCGCAGCGGCUGGCUUAAGGGCUCCUCGAGCACGGCUAGAGAGGACGCCGAGGCCGAGAAGACGCGGAGAGCUAGUGAGGGCUGCUAGCACGUUGUCACUUCGGCUGAGGCGCCGCCGCCGCCGCCGCCGCCGCCGCCGCCGCCGCUGCCUGGUCACUUCGCCCCGGCCCCCGCCCCCCUCCCACCCCAGCCCGCCGCCUCCCGGCCCCUCCUCCUCGCGUGGUCCCUCCCCCUCUCGUAGCCCCAGCCUGGAGGCCUCUCACUGGGCUAGUAUCAUUUACGUAACCAGCACUCCGGCCCUCCUCCCUCCCUGCUCCCGCUCCUCCCCGGGCUGGGGCUCUGCGCACCGAGCGCGCUCCAGCUGCUCCUGGAGCUGGCGCUCCUGCGAUGUGCACAAGUCCCGCGAUACUUGGCAGGCACGGCCCCCGAGAGCCACCGUGGGGUCAGCUCCUCUCCCCGGAGAGCGCCUCCCGACUCCUAGCUGCCUUGGGUUCCCGUAA
rnacentral:lncRNA from 1 species